rnacentral:rRNA from 1 species
UACGUAGGGGCCUAGCGUUGUCCGGAUUUAUUGGGCGUAAAGAGCUCGUAGGCGGUUCGGCAAGUCAGGUGGGAAAUCUCCGCGCUCAACGCGGAGGAGCCACCUGAUACUGCCGUGACUUGAGUCCGGUAGGGGAGUGCGGAAUUCCUGGUGUAGCGGUGAAAUGCGCAGAUAUCAGGAGGAACACCAAUGGCGAAGGCAGCUCGCUGGGACGUGACUGACGCUGAGACGCGAAAGCGUGGGGAGCAAACAGG